GUAGGGGGCGAGCGUUGUCCGGAAUUACUGGGCGUAAAGGGUGCGUAGGCGGUUAGAUAAGUCGGAUGUGGAAUACCCGGGCUUAACCCGGGGGUGUCAUACGAAACUGUGUAACUUGAGUGCAGAAGAGGAAAGCGGAAUUCCCAGUGUAGCGGUGAAAUGCGUAGAUAUUGGGAGGAACACCAGUGGCGAAGGCGGCUUUCUGGGCUGUAACUGACGCUGAGGCACGAAAGCGUGGGGAGCAAACAGGAUUAGAUACCCUGGUAGUCCACGCUGUAAAUGGUGGAUGCUAGGUGUAGGGGGUAUCGACCCCCCCUGUGCCGGAGCAAACGCAAUAAGCAUCCCGCCUGGGGAGU
rnacentral:rRNA from 1 species